GCGCGGGCCUGAAACUAACUAGCGGUAAUUCUCACGCGGUUCGCUUUUGAGACCGCAGAGUUGUCUUUGAGAUCCUCUCUGAGGAAGAGCGGCAUCCCUGGAUGUACAUUAUGACUCCAAUGGCCCAGCAGUCCACAGGGCGUCCAUACCGCUGCCGGCCUACCACCUCUGGGGCUGCAAACAGGAUCCAUCUGCUGUCUGUUGUAGUAAACCAGGUUCUCCAGCUGCUCCAGCCGGGAAUGGCAUGCGAGUGGGCAGAUGAAGACACCAUGAAACCCUCAGAGGGUGGACCAUGGCCCCGAAGUGCUGCCCACCCCAGCCCCGGGCCAGUUGCCAACUGACCCUUCGACCUGGUUGCCGGCCUCACCUUGAGGUUCCUGUGCACGAUCUUGAGUGAGUGCAGGAUGUUCGGAUGCUUCACCCUGGCAGCAGAGAGAAGAGCCAAGCGCUAGAGCUGGUUGAAGCCCCUCAGAGAAGCUUUGGUGGGCCACAGCACACUCACUGGCCGGAGGCUGGUACUGCUUGAGGUCCCUGGCCCUCGGAGCCCUGCCCUGCUUCCUCCCCUCCCCCUCCCCACCCCAGGGCCUCACACUCACAUCUUGAGGAUGCCUAUCUCGUUCUUUGCUGCCUUCCGCACCUUGCGGCCAUCCCGCUUCUGGAACUUCUUGCAGGUGUGCAGCUUGCCUGUCGUCUUGUCCUUGGCCCGGAAGAUCUCACAGAACUCCUCACUGCAGCCAGCAGGCACUCCGCUCAGCCCUGGCCUCAGCAUGGGCUGUACUCCACUCCCCUUUCCCCAGCCCUGGCCCGCCCACCCUGGCCCAACAGACCCGGCACUCACGUCUUGAUGACCUGUCCCAAAUCAUAUCUGUCAGUCACCUCCGAUGGCUGGUUAUAGUUCUUCUUGUCGCCCAGAGUCACACACCCAAACGGCAUUGCCGGGCUCUGAGCUGCAGACAGGAUGGGGUCUGGUUCAGCUGUCCCACUCCCCACUUCUCCACACAAUGUAGAGGUUGUCUUUGGGAAACCCCAGCCUGGCUCAGAUCAAGCCAGAGGCCGAGUCUACACCAAGAAGGGCUAGAGGGUGGUCAGACUGGGAUCCCACCCCUGCCUUUUUGGCCAUACUUCCAGCCACUCAGCUUGGCUGCCCACGCUACAGCAGCCCCUGCUUAUGAAAAAUAUA